rnacentral:rRNA from 1 species
AAGGGCACCACCAGGAGUGGAGCCUGCGGCUUAAUUUGACUCAACACGGGGAAACUCACCCGGCCCGGACACUGUGAGGAUUGACAGGUUGAAGCCCUUUCUUGAUUCAGUGGGUGGUGGUGCAUGGCCGUUCUUAGUUGGUGGAGUGAUUUGUCUGGUUAAUUCCGAUAACGAACGAGACUCUAGCCUACUAAUUAGACCAAGGCAUCCUUGUGCUGCCUUGGCGCUUCCUAGAGGGACAGACGGCGUUUCAGCCGUAUGAGAAAGAGCAAUAACAGGUCUGUGAUGCCCUUAGAUGUCCGGGGCCGCACGCGCGCUACACUGAAGAGAUCAGCGUGUAUGUGCAUCCUACUCCGAAAGGAGCGGGAAACCGAGUGAACCCUUUUCGUGCUUGGGAUUGGGGAUUGUAAUUAUUCUCCAUGAACGAGGAAUUCCCAGUAAGUGCAAGUCAUCAGCUUGCAUUGAUUACGUCCCUGCCCUUUGUACACACCGCCCGUCGCUACUAUCGAUUGGAUGAUU